UUUAGAAUCUUGUGAAUAACCCCCUAGAUCUAUUAGCUUUCUGCACUUUAACCCGAGCCUUGAACUUUUGUAGAUCUAACCCUGGGGAACUUGAGAAUUUUUGCUACUGUGCACUGAGUCUGUCUUUACUUCUUUGCAGGCCCCUGAAGUAUAUAGAUAAUUGCAUAUAAGUCCGUGCCAGUUUGAAUUUCUAGUUAAGUGCUUUUCUUUAAUUUGAGAACUUUAGAAAAUCACCAAAAAUCGUAGGAAAAUCUAAAAUGGACAAACUCAGUUGCAUUAUUCUCCUAAUUAGUAGAUCUACAGAAUGGUUUAGAUGUGGAUCCAUGAAAUGACUGUUUUACCCCUGGUUUAGUGCACAUAUGUUAAAACAAAAUAAAUGGUAAAAGUGGUAUAAAUGGACUCCAAAAUUUGUGAAACUUGGACAGUAGCUUUGUUAUGGCAUCUAAGUAUUAUGUGAUUUUUGGUAUCCCUAGCACUGAUUGUUUAUUUACUGUUUUGCCCUCAUACAUGUAUCAUGGUGUUUUAUUAACAUGGGAAGUACUUGCCAUAGGAAAAUGCUCCAAAUAUAGUGUUAGAAUUUGCAGACACUCAUUGUGGCCUAUAUAGCUUGCUGGUAAGGUUUGGUUCUCUGUAUGCUAAGUUUGAAUGGUGAUUUGAAAAUGGCAAAGUGUCACAUGCUUAACUAAAUAAAAGGAGAAAGUGGUUUUAGGGUGCCUAAUAAAAUUCCGUGGAAAGUUUGGUCGUGGGAUAAUUCAAGAGUCAGACUGUCUUCGAAAUGCUAUUCGUUUAGUCGAAUGCCAACACUACAAUUGAUAAAUAUCAUGUCCUUUCGAAAAUAAAUAUCAUGUGCUUAUCUCUUUCGUCUCAAUUGUUUUCAGUAAUUCGAUAUUGACAUUUUGUGAUUAGAUCAAAAAGAUUACUGCUGGUAAUGUUUAGAGUCCAGGAAAUAAUUUCUUAGAAUUUAUGAACUCUGUUUCAUGGUGCUCUUGAAUAUGAGCCUAAGUAAGUAUAUGGGAAAUAGAUGUCUUGAACUAGCGGUCCAUACCUGUGGAACCAUAUGUUAGCCUAGUGUUUGCUUGCAUGAGGUGUGAAACAAGAUGACUCGACUUAAUACUUGAUCAUGUAAUAACCCCAUGUAUUGCCUUGUGAAUAUCCAAUUGUAUGAGUGUAUGUUUGUUCUAUGUCCACGAAGGUGCCCUUGCCUAAGUAGUUUUGAGAUCCCCUUUCUGUCAUCCAUUGAAUGGUUAUUCAUGCGUGCUUAUACUCAUGCAUUCCAUUCAUUGCAUCAUGCCUGCCAAUCAUAUAGCGACGCUUAUUGCAGAUACGUGAUCCAGAACCAAGUUUGUGGAGCUUCUUCAAGCAACGGUGGUCCAGAAGACCCACUAAGCCCCAAGCACGACCUGGAGGGCCCAUCAGUCGUGUUUGGAAGGAGGAGUUGUCCAAGGGAUCAAGGGGUUGCCUGGGGCAAAGCCUCACAACCCGGCAAAAUAACAAUAGCUUAGUUUGUUGUGUUCUGAAAGUAAAGCAAAGGUAUGGAGUUCCUCUUCUGCGCCUGUGUUAGCGGAGGGGCUUGUUAUCAUCAGGAUUAGGAAGCGUCAUGUCUGGCAACGGGGCAACAUCAGUGGGCUUGAUGUUGCUCUACUCCUGCAAGUCUUUUGGUUAUCAUGAACUCUGAACUUUACUUUCCGCUGCGAGAAACUAUUUGAACUCAAGUGUUGUAAUAACCUAUGUUGAACCCUAUUUUAUUUCGAACUGGAUUGUAACUUAAA